AUAUCAGUCAUGCAUAGCAUAUCAAUAAGCGGAGGAAAAGAAACUAACAAGGAUUCCCUUAGUAACGGCGAGUGAAGCGGGAAGAGCUCAAAUUUGAAAUCUUCAAGGUUUUACCUUGACGAAUUGUAGUUUAAAGAAGUGUUUUCUGUUGAAGUUUUGGUAAAAGUUCUUUGGAAUAGGACAUCAUAGAGGGUGAGAAUCCCGUAUUUGACCAUUAGCUUUCAGCUUUGUGAUACACUUUCAAAGAGUCGGAUUGUUUGGGAAUGCAGUCCAAAAUGGGUGGUAAAUUUCAUCUAAAGCUAAAUAUUGGCGAGAGACCGAUAGCGAACAAGUACCGUGAGGGAAAGAUGAAAAGAACUUUGAAAAGAGAGUUAAACAGUACGUGAAAUUGUCAAAAGGGAAGCGUUUGACACCAGUGUUGUUUUCUCGAAAAUCAAUUAAAAAGAGUUGGAUUUUGUGUUGUAUUGACUUUAUCAGCUUUCUUCACUCUUUUCCAGCUUUUUUUAAUGUACUUUUCGUUUAACAAGUCAACAUCAGUUUCUUUUGUUGUAAAAAGGUCAUUGGAAGGUGGCUUUCUCUUCGGAGAAAGUGUUUAUAGCCUUUGACUCAUGCAAUCGGAGAGACUGAGGUCUGCAGCGUAGAUCCUUCGGGGUUAGAUACAUUUGUGCUAAGUUAUAGCUUUUCAUAGACAACUUGUUGACUAUGUUUAGUCUUGUAGCUUACUCGCUUAUGCUAUUUUACCUACGCUUAGGAUGUUGAACUCUAUCACACACAG
rnacentral:rRNA from 1 species